rnacentral:rRNA from 1 species
GUGGCGGACGGGUGAGUAACGCGUGGGUAACCUGCCUUGUACUGGGGGACAACAGUUGGAAACGACUGCUAAUACCGCAUAAGCGCACAGCUUCGCAUGAAGCAGUGUGAAAAACUCCGGUGGUACAAGAUGGACCCGCGUCUGAUUAGCUGGUUGGUGAGGUAACGGCCUACCAAGGCGACGAUCAGUAGCCGGCCUGAGAGGGUGAACGGCCACAUUGGGACUGAGACACGGCCCAAACUCCUACGGGAGGCAGCAUG